UCCAGAGGGCCUGUGGGGGAGGGGGUGAUGUCUCAUUUCCCCUUCCCAGUCAAUGGGGUGUUGAGUCUCAGCAGGGCCUAGCAGAAGGCUGGACAUCCUAUCAGCCAUUAGUAGGAAUGGUUGGCAAGCGGGAUCUGCUGGUGCCAGCAGGAUGACAGGGGACGCCAGCGUGAUUUUCCCCAGGUGUGCGAUUCUGUUCCUGAACCUGGCUCUCCGACCCCAGAGAAUCCCAGUGUUUUGGAGCCUCUGGGCCUUUAGGCACCAUGGAGCCUGACUCUCUUCUCCCCUGUGCUUGUCCUGCACACUGGGAGUUAGGGGCAGGCCCCACCUUCUGCUCGGCCUCAAUCUGCAGGGAAGGUUAGGAGCCAUAUGAAAAGAUUCUUUCCGAGGACGCAUCUCUGCCCCUACCAGGGGUAAUUACUGCUUAACUGCUCAAAGCAGAGCUGCCCUUCUAUUCUCUCGCAUAAUCGACCCGGCAACCCUGGAAACCCACAACGAUUAACUCUCUGGAUCCCAUCCAGGACACCACAUCCCAGUUAGUCAUCGUGUUUCCUGAAGCUCCUCUUGGCCGUGAUAAUUUCUCAGACUUCUCUGGUUUUUGAUGGGGUACUGGUCAGAUAAGGGAAACCGAGGCACAGAGCUGUGGGAUCUCCUGCAGGCGGCGGGGGCGGCACAGCCAGAGAGUCGUGGAGCUGGGCCUGACCCCUUGGGGCGCUGACCCCCAGAGUCCCCGGUUUCAACUGCUCCAGGAUAAGGGGGGGUUGGGCUCGGCCUGCGCCCAGAGCCUGGAGCCUCAAACGCCCUUCCUCCGGGGCGGGCGGGGGAGGCCGAGGGAGCCAGGAGCCCGCUGGCCGUGAACCCUGGACCCAGCCA